CACUCUGUGUGGCUGCCAGGCACUUGUUUCUUUUCCAACUGGCUUCCCCAUUGAGGGAUUUUUCCCUGAAGGUCCUGGCGGUUUGGGCUUAGAUUACAGGGAGCAAGGCUGUAUUUUUAAGCAGGCUGUGAGGGGAAAGGGGAGGACAGGGGAGGACACUGGGAUGGUGUGUGUGUGAAUGCGUGUGCUGUGUGAAUGUGUGUUGUAUGUGUGUGUUAUGUUAUGUGGUGUGUGAAUGCGUGUGUGUUGUGUGUGAAUGUGUGGUGUGUGUGGUGAGUGAAUGUGUGUGUUGUGUGUGGUAUAUGUGUGUGCAUGUGUGUGAAUGUGUGUGUGGUAUGUGUAUUGUGUGUUGUGUGUGUGUGACUGUUGUGUGUGGUGUAUGUGUAUGUUGUGUGUGUGUGUGACUGUGAGUGUGCAUGUUGUGUGGUGUGUGCAUGUGUGUGGUGCAUGUGAGUGUGUGUGUGACUUGUGUGUGGUGUAUGUGUGUGUUGUGUGUGCGUGUGUGACUGUGAGUGUGCGUGUUGUGUGUGGUGCGUGUGUGUGUGUGUGAUUCAUGUGAGUGUGUGUUGUGUAUGUGUGUUGUGUGUGACCGUGUCCGUGCCACACAGA
rnacentral:lncRNA from 1 species